AAAAAUAUAUAAACUGCACAAGAUGAUUCACCAACAGGAAACCAUCUUCCAGCUAGCUUACAAGCAUCACACAGGAUCUACCCUUCAAACUAGGAUGCAAGAGGUGCCCCAGCAACAGCCAGUUGAGCAGUUAUCACAGUAUAAACACGAAAAAGAAACUACAACUGAUUUGUCCAGCAGAACACCCGAAGCAGGCAGUUGUAGCGCCCCAN
rnacentral:lncRNA from 1 species